AUUGAACGCUGGCGGAAUGCUUUACACAUGCAAGUCGAACGGCAGCACGGACUUCGGUCUGGUGGCGAGUGGCGAACGGGUGAGUAAUGUAUCGGAACGUGCCCAGUCGUGGGGGAUAACGUAGUGAAAAUUACGCUAAUACCGCAUACGAUCUAUGGAUGAAAGCGGGGGAUCGCAAGACCUCGCGCGAUUGGAGCGGCCGAUAUCAGAUUAGGUAGUUGGUGGGGUAAAGGCCCACCAAGCCAACGAUCUGUAGCUGGUCUGAGAGGACGACGAGCCACACUGGAACGGAGCCACGGGCCAGACUCCAACGGGGGGCAGCAGUGGGGAAUUUUGGACGAUGGGCGAAAGCCUGAUCCAGCCAUUCCGCGGGCAGGAUGAAGGCCCUCGGGUUGUAAACUGCUUUUGUACAGAACGAAAAGGUUUCUACUAAUACUAGGAGCUCAUGACGGUACUGUAAGAAUAAGCACCGGCUAACUACGUGCCAGCAGCCGCCGUAA
rnacentral:rRNA from 1 species